GAUGAACGCUAGCGGCAGGCUUAACACAUGCAAGUCGAGGGGUAACAGGGAUUGCUUGCAAUCCGCUGACGACCGGCGCACGGGUGCGUAACGCGUAUGCAACCUACCUUUUACUGGGGGAUAGUCAAGAGAAAUUUUGAAUAAUACCCCAUACGAUCCAAUUCACUCCUGUGAGAUGGAAGAAAACUUCGGUGGUAAAAGAUGGGCAUGCGUCCUAUUAGUUUGUUGGUGAGGUAACGGCUCACCAAGACUACGAUAGGUAGGGGUCCUGAGAGGGAGAUCCCCCACACUGGUACUGAGACACGGACCAGACUCCUACGGGAGGCAGCAGUGAGGAAUAUUGGACAAUGGAGGCAACUCUGAUCCAGCCAUGCCGCGUGCAGGAAGACGGCCCUAUGGGUUGUAAACUGCUUUUAUACAGGAAGAAACGUUAGUACGUGUACUAGCCUGACGGUACUGUAAGAAUAAGGAUCGGCUAACUCCG
rnacentral:rRNA from 1 species